rnacentral:lncRNA from 10 species
UCAGAGUCUGAUGGAUCUGGGUGACUGGGCAAGUUCUUUAGCUUGUCAAACCUUCAUUUCUCUAAUUUAUAACAUAAGGACAGUACCUUCUUCCUGUCAAGGUUGAGGCAAGCAUUAGUGAGAAACGUCUCAAGGCCUGGUUCACAGAACCCUGGGUGGCAGGUACUAUUGGCACCAUUUUCCAGAUAAAGAAAAUGAAGUUCUAAGCAGUCAAAUGACAUGUCAAGAUCACCCAACUGUAAAGGAUGACAGAGGGCACAGAAGCCACCAGCAGAUUCUUUGGAAGGAAGUAACAGGAGUGGAACUUCAUUUUCCCAUGGAUUGUAAAGGGCUGGGCUCCCUUCCACCUCUUCUCACUGGCCUCCUGUUUGUACCCCUGACCUCUCCGGGAUCUGGAUCCCAACACUGUCUUCUGCAAUGAAAACCCUGAUUUUCUAUAUCUGGACAAAAGACUAGGACAUAACGAGAAUUUUAGCGGAAGGAACUGAGGGAGAGAGAUUGCACAGCAGACAAGGACAAAUAAAGGGAAGGUGGAAACAAGGGU